rnacentral:rRNA from 1 species
GCCAGACUCCUACGGGAGGCAGCAGUGGGGGAUAUUGCACAAUGGGGGAAACCCUGAUGCAGCGACGCCGCGUGGGCGAAGAAGUAUUUCGGUAUGUAAAGCCCUCUCAGCAGGGAAGAAGAAAUGACGGUACCUGACUAAGAAGCCCCGGCUAACUACGUGCCAGCAGCCGCGGUAAUACGUAGGGGGCAAGCGUUAUCCGGAUUUACUGGGUGUAAAGGGGGCGCAGACGGCGAUGCAAGCCAGGAGUGAAAGCCCGGGGCCCAACCCCGGGACUGCUCUUGGAACUGCGUGGCUGGAGUGCAGGAGGGGCAGGCGGAAUUCCUGGUGUAGCGGUGAAAUGCGUAGAUAUCAGGAGGAACACCGGUGGCGAAGGCGGCCUGCUGGACUGCAACUGACGUUGAGGCCCGAAAGCGUGGGGAGCAAACAGGAUUAGAUACCCUUGUAUA